rnacentral:rRNA from 1 species
AUACGUAGGUGGCGAGCGUUGUCCGGAUUUACUGGGCGUAAAGGGAGCGUAGGCGGACUUUUAAGUCGAGAUGUGAAAUACCCGGGCUCAACUUGGGUGCUGCAUUUCAAACUGGAAGUCUAGAGUGCAGGAGAGGAGAAGGGAAUUCCUAGUGUAGCGGUGAAAUGCGUAGAGAUUAGGAAGAACACCAGUGGCGAAGGCGCUUCUCUGGACUGUAACUGACGCUGAGGCUCGAAAGCGCGGGGAGC